CUCAUAGGCGCGAAAUAAAGAUCACAGUCUGCUCCGCGGAGCACCGUAACCAUCGUUCUGGCUCCAAGGCCGCCUCCCCUCCAAUCGACGCCGUCUUCGCGUCCUUGAGGCGAACCGGAUCGGAGAGAAAGAGGGUGGGAAACGCCGGUCGACGAUGACGGAGGCUGUGGUUAGGAAGAAGCCAGGGAUGGUGAGCGUGAAGGAGAUGCCAGUGCUCCAGGACGGUCCGCCGCCGGGGGGUUUUCCGCCGGUGAGGUACGCGCGACGGAUCCCGAAUAAAGGCCCAAGCGCAGUCGCCAUCUUUCUCACCGCCUUCGGCGCUUUCUCUUGGGGCAUGUACCAGGUCGGCAAGGGCAACAAGAUCCGUCGUGAGCUCAAGGAAGAGAAGUAUGCUGCUCGCAGAGCAAUACUUCCCAUGCUUCAAGCAGAAGAAGAUGAAAGAUUUGUGAAAGAAUGGAAGAAAUAUCUGGAAGAGGAGGCCAGAAUUAUGAAAGAUGUGCCUGGGUGGAAGGUCGGCGAGAGUGUGUACCACUCUGGGAAAUGGGUGCCCCCCGCAACUGGUGAGCUCCGACCAGAUGUGUGGUGAGAGGGUAGAGAACUCUCGAUUUCAGCUGGAUCAUCCAAAACUGAGUUCUAUAAUCCCCGACUGUGAUUCCGUCACUUGUGCAACAGAAAAUUCUCAGACCAUGCACUGUAAAAAACCUUCUAUUUAUCCUUCUUGCUUGGACAGAUGGAAGGGUUUGUCCGGUUAAUAAUCCUUAUCUCAGAAUGACCUAUUUCACUUUCUAAGGGAAUGCCAGGGAUUGCUAAAGGUGAAGCUAAAUUCUUGGUUUGCAUGCAUGAAUGCAAUGGGAUUUUGUGUUUUUGA